rnacentral:rRNA from 1 species
UACGGAGGGUGCGAGCGUUAUCCGGAAUUACUGGGUUUAAAGGGUGCGUAGGCGGCUAUGUAAGUCAGAUAGUGAAAGUUUGCGGCUCAACCGUAAAAUUGCUUUUGAUACUGCAUGGCUAGAAUCAGGAUGAGGUUAGCGGAAUGUGGCAUGUAGCGGUGAAAUGCAUAGAUAUGCCAUAGAACACCAAUUGCGAAGGCAGCUGGCUAGACCUGUAUUGACGCUGAGGCACGAAAGCGUGGGGAUCAAACAGG